UACGGGGGGGGCAAGCGUUGUUCGGAAUUACUGGGCGUAAAGGGUUCGUAGGUGGCCUACUAAGUCAGACGUGAAAUCCCUCAGCUUAACUGGGGAACUGCGUCUGAUACUGGGGGGCUUGAGGACAGGAGAGGAACGCGGAAUUCCAGGUGUAGCGGUGAAAUGCGUAGAUAUCAAGAGGAACACCUGCGGGGAAGGCGGGUUGCUGGGCCGACACUGACGCUGAGGCGCGAAAGCUAGGGGAGCGAACGGG
rnacentral:rRNA from 1 species